rnacentral:lncRNA from 1 species
UUUUAAAAUUAAUCACCUUAUUUUGACUUAUAAAUGUGGAGUGUUACAUAAAAUAAACUUCCCCUUUAUUAGAUAUCUACUUUUUGUAUAUAAUUAGCUAGCCUAGUUCCAUUUUGCCCUCGAGGAGUUAGCCGCAUAGCUAGAUUCAUGGUUUGUUCUCAUGAAAUUUGCCACCUGUCAAGCUUCCAUGCAUGUGGGACCUCUCCUUUCAAUGAUAAUAAAUUUUAGAUGCAUUGAUGAUCUGUGAUAAUUUUAGACAUUCGAGUUGUCCCGUAUCACAUAGAGGAUUAAUACAAUAUAGUAAGAUUAAUUCAAGACAAAUCCAGAUAAAAGCCUCAGUCAUGUAUGAACUAAUGUAUCAAUCUAUUAUGGUGUCCUCUCUUUUCUUUUGAGUGACAGGAUUAAAAGUCCUUUUAUGAUCUUAGUUUUAAUUUAUUUAUGAACUUUUAAAGAUUUGUUACUAUGCGUAGAUUAUUGUCAUGAAUAUAUGAUUAAAAUUUAUUCACAUUCAUGUUUUUGUGGCUUACUGGUGUCAUUUUUAUUUUUGAAAAAACCUCGUUAAAAAAAUAUGAAAAAGGAAAAAUAUAUUGAGCGAGGAGGGCUUCAAGAUAGCUUGAUAUUGAUCAGCACAACGAAUAACAAGUUGGCUCCUAAUUAAUUAGAGGAAUUAAUAUAAUGAGAUUCUUCAAGAUAAGUGUAUAUAAUGAAGCCUCAAAAGUCAUAGAAAAAAAAAAUUAAAAAGAUUAUAUUUUGGUCCAUACAUAGCUUGAAAUUGUGCUCAACGAAUAAUUUUGAGUUUUUAAGUUGAUCCUAUUCCAUCUCAAAAUUGAAUCAUCUCCAUAUUCUCUCCUUUUUUUUUUUUCUCUUUCAGAAGAAUGAUAUCCACAAAAAUUGAUUUUAAUGGAUUUUAUUCUCAAUAUAUAGAGACACGCGUUGAAAAAGAAGAUUGUUAGUUUU